GAUGAACGCUAGCGGCAGGCUUAAUACAUGCAAGUCAAGGGGGUAGCAAUACAACCGGCGCACGGGUGAGUAACGCGUACACAACAUACCAUAUACUGGAGUAUAGCUUUGGGAAACUGAAGGUAAUCCUCCAUAACAUUGCGAGAGGGCAUCUGAUUGCAAUUAAAGUUUCGGCGGUAUAUGAUUGGUGUGCGUUUGAUUAGCUAGUUGGUAGGGUAACGGCCUACCAAGGCGACGAUCAAUAGCUGGCGUGAGAGCGCGACCAGCCACACUGGAACUGAGACACGGUCCAGACUCCUACGGGAGGCAGCAGUAAGGAAUAUUGCUCAAUGGCCGAAAGGCUGAAGCAGCAACGCCGCGUGGAGGAUGAAAUACUUUAGUAUGUAAACUCCUGUAAGAGGGGAAAAUAUACAGCUAUGCUGUGUUGAUUGUACCCUCAGAGUAAGCACCGGCUAACUACGUGCCAGCAGCCGCGGUAAAGUAG
rnacentral:rRNA from 1 species